rnacentral:rRNA from 1 species
GACGUAGGGUGCAAGCGUUGUCCGGAUUUAUUGGGCGUAAAGAGCUCGUAGGCGGCUUGUUGCGUCGACUGUGAAAACCCGCGGCUUAACCGCGGGCUUGCAGUUGAUACGGGCAGGCUAGAGUUCGGUAGGGGAGACUGGAAUUCCCGGUGUAGCGGUGAAAUGCGUAGAGAUCGGGAGGAACACCGGCGGCGAAGGCGGCUGCCUGGACCAUGACUGACGCUGAGGCGCGAAAGCUAGGGGAGCAAACGGG